UUUAUUGGCGUGACAAACUACAAAAUCUACAAACAUAUGUUUUAUAGAUGUAUAGGCAGCAAAAUGAAAAUUCUAGAAGCAGCGCAGUCUUCCAAACUGCCUUGUCUUCUGGGGUGGCAUUUCGCAAGUUUGCCUAAAUUUCGAAAAUUGCAUAGAUAUCCUGAAACCGUUUUUCGUCCGACUUUGCACGCCCAUAACGGGAGAACGAAACAAGUGGGCUAGAGUAGCUUGUGGAAUAUAAGGGUACGGUGGUGACUAGGCGUGAAUGCGAGACAUAGAAUAGAGGAAAAGGGAUUUAGCAGGGCAUGGCAAUUUCAAUUAUGGAUUUAUAGCCGUUUUAAGAACCUCUAUGCACUAUCUUCCAUUCUCCUGUCAAGUGCUAAAAGAAAAUUAACUGUAUUUGUCACUCUAUACAAUAAAAAUAAAGCGAAUUGCAAUACG